rnacentral:lncRNA from 1 species
UUCCUAAUUCCCACCUACCAAACAUGAUAUUAAGGUUCUGAAAUCUCCUGACCGUUUCAAGGAGUAGGAAAUUUCAGCAGAAAUUGAAUAGCUUUCCUCUGAAUCUAGAAACUUCGCCCAACCAUGAAUAUGCUCAAAUAAAGGUGGGGCUGCUCAUUUGUAUAGGGUGUGACAUUAUCCACACGGUUGCCACAGCAGUAGUCUGAUGACAAGCCUAGCAGCUUCAAGUUAACAAGGGCUAAUGGAGUUGGA